rnacentral:sRNA from 1 species
CGCGUGGCUCGUCGGGCAAGCAACGGCAGCGGCCACGGGAUACCCCGGGACUGUGGGAUAGUCUUGAGACCCCGGGCGAGGCGGCGAGGUUAGCGCCUCGGACGAACGGCUGACGGGC